AUUGAACGCUGGCGGCAUGCUUUACACAUGCAAGUCGAACGGCAGCGCGGGCUUCGGCUUGGCGGCGAGUGGCGAACGGGUGAGUAAUACAUCGGAACGUGCCCAGUAGUGGGGGAUAGCUCGGCGAAAGCCGGAUUAAUACCGCAUACGACCUGAGGGUGAAAGCGGGGGAUCUUCGGACCUCGCGCUAUUGGAGCGGCCGAUGGCAGAUUAGCUAGUUGGUGGGGUAAAGGCCUACCAAGGCGACGAUCUGUAGCUGGUCUGAGAGGACGACCAGCCACACUGGGACUGAGACACGGCCCAGACUCCUACGGGAGGCAGCAGUGGGGAAUUUUGGACAAUGGGCGAAAGCCUGAUCCAGCAAUGCCGCGUGUGUGAUGAAGGCCUUCGGGUUGUAAAGCACUUUUGGCGGGAACGAAAAGGACUGUGCCAAUACCACGGUUCGAUGACGGUACCCGCAGAAUAAGCACCGGCUAACUACGUG
rnacentral:rRNA from 1 species